CCUACGGGUGGCAGCAGUGGGGAAUAUUGCACAAUGGGGGAAACCCUGAUGCAGCGACGCCGCGUGAGUGAAGAAGUAAUUCGGUAUGUAAAGCUCUAUCAGCAGGGAAGAAAAUGACGGUACCUGAGUAAGAAGCACCGGCUAACGACGUGCCAGCAGCCGCGGUAAGACGGAGGGGGCAAGCGUUAGCCGGAUUUACUGGGUGUAAAGGGAGCGUAGACGGCAGGGCAAGUCUGGAGGGAAAGGCGGGGGCUCAACCCCCGGACUGCUCUGGAAACUGUACGGCUGGAGUGCAGGAGAGGUAAGUGGACUUCCUAGUGUAGCGGUGCAAUGCGUAGAUAUUAGGAGGACCCCCAGUGGCGAAGGCGGCUUACUGGACUGUACCUGACGUUGAGGCUCG
rnacentral:rRNA from 1 species